rnacentral:lncRNA from 1 species
GCGGCAGCUGCGUAGAACUGGGUGGCGCAGCGGCGGCGGUGCCGAGGAGAUGGCUUCCUGGAGCGCGCCUUCGCCCAGCCUUGUAGAGUAUUUUGAGGGCCAGACCUCCUUCCAGUGUGGCUAUUGCAAGAGCAACUUUGGCAGUCGCUCCCAUGAAGCGGGAAAUAUGUGUACAAGCCUGUCAUGAAUCAAACAUGCUGUCCUCAGUAUACAAUAAGGUGUCAUCCUUUACAGUUUCAGCCCUCAAAAUCUCACAAGAAAGUUUUGAAAAAAAUGCUGAAAUUUCUGGCUAAAGGAGAGAUCUCGAAAGGCAAUUGUGAGGACGAGCCCAUGGAUUCUACAAUGGAGGAUGCUGUUGAUGGUGAUUUUGCAUUAAUGAACAAGUUGGAUAUAAAGUGUGAUCUUAAAACACUCAGCAGUGACCUCAAAGUAAGCAUAGAGAGUGA